rnacentral:rRNA from 1 species
GACGAACGCUGGCGGCGUGCUUAACACAUGCAAGUCGAACGGAAAGGCCCUGCUUUUGUGGGGUGCUCGAGUGGCGAACGGGUGAGUAACACGUGAGUAACCUGCCCUUGACUUUGGGAUAACUUCAGGAAACUGGGGCUAAUACCGGAUAGGAGCUCCUGCUGCAUGGUGGGGGUUGGAAAGUUUCGGCGGUUGGGGAUGGACUCGCGGCUUAUCAGCUUGUUGGUGGGGUAGUGGCUUACCAAGGCUUUGACGGGUAGCCGGCCUGAGAGGGUGACCGGCCACAUUGGGACUGAGAUACGGCCCAGACUCCUACGGGAGGCAGCAGUGGGGAAUAUUGCACAAUGGGCGGAAGCCUGAUGCAGCAACGCCGCGUGCGGGAUGACGGCCUUCGGGUUGUAAACCGCUUUCGCCUGUGACGAAGCGUGAGUGACGGUAAUGGGUAAAGAAGCACCGGCUAACUACGUGCCAGCAGCCGCGGUGAUACGUAGGGUGCGAGCGUUGUCCGGAUUUAUUGGGCGUAAAGGGCUCGUAGGUGGUUGAUCGCGUCGGAAGUGUAAUCUUGGGGCUUAACCCUGAGCGUGCUUUCGAUACGGGUUGACUUGAGGAAGGUAGGGGAGAAUGGAAUUCCUGGUGGAGCGGUGGAAUGCGCAGAUAUCAGGAGGAACACCAGUGGCGAAGGCGGUUCUCUGGGCCUUUCCUGACGCUGAGGAGCGAAAGCGUGGGGAGCGAACAGGCUUAGAUACCCUGGUAGUCCACGCUGUAAACGGUGGGUACUAGGUGUGGGGUCCAUUCCACGGGUUCCGUGCCGUAGCUAACGCUUUAAGUACCCCGCCUGGGGAGUACGGCCGCAAGGCUAAAACUCAAAGGAAUUGACGGGGCCCCGCACAAGCGGCGGAGCAUGCGGAUUAAUUCGAUGCAACGCGUAGAACCUUACCUGGGUUUGACAUGGAUCGGGAGUGCUCAGAGAUGGGUGUGCCUCUUUUGGGGUCGGUUCACAGGUGGUGCAUGCCUGUCGUCAGCUCGUGUCGUGAGAUGUUGGGUUAAGUCCCGCAACGAGCGCAACCCUUGUUCACUGUUGCCAGCACGUUAUGGUGGGGACUCAGUGGAGACCGCCGGGGUCAACUCGGAGGAAGGUGGGGAUGACGUCAAGUCCUCAUGCCCCUUAUGUCCAGGGCUUCACGCAUGCUACAAUGGCUGGUACAGAGAGUGGCGAGCCUGUGAGGGUGAGCGAAUCUCGGAAAGCCGGUCUCAGUUCGGAUUGGGGUCCGCAACUCGACCUCAUGAAGUCGGAGUCGCUAGUAAUCGCAGAUCAGCAACGCUGCGGUGAAUACGUUCCCGGGGCU